UUUUAGAAAUUAAUUUGAAGUCUAACCUGCCCACUGAAUAAUUUUAAAUGGCCGCAGUAUCCUAACUGUGCAAAGGUAGCAUAAUCAUUAGUCUUUUAAUUGAAGGCUGGAAUGAAUGGUUGGAUGAAAUAUUAACUGUUUCAUAUAAAUUUAUAAUAGAAUUUUAUUUUUUAGUCAAAAAGCUAAAAUAAAAUUAAAAGACGAGAAGACCCUAUAAAUCUUUAUAUUUAAAUAAUUUUAAUUAUUUAGAUAAAUUAAAUUAUAAUUAUUUUAAAUAUUUUAUUGGGGUGAUAUUAAAAUUUAAUAAACUUUUAAUUUAUAAUAAACAUAAAUUAAUGAAUUAUUGAUCCAUUUAUUAUGAUUAUAAAAUUAAGUUACUUUAGGGAUAACAGCGUAAUUUUUUUAGAGAGUUCAUAUUGAUAAAAA
rnacentral:rRNA from 1 species